CUAUGUUACUUUAGAUAUGUCGAUCGCAAGUACACACUAAUAACCAAUGUAAAACUGCAACAAUAUGGAGGAACCAAUUCACAUGUUCCACAAAAUAAAUUGCAUGCUCUUGUAUGCAUGCUCGUCACUCUAACACAAGAAAAUGGAGACAUGUGAUUUCACAUUAAAGAAUAUACAUAUAUAAUGCUCAUCAAGCUUUCAAAAGGUAAUGGGAGAAUAUCCAGCUUCUAGCAAGGCUCUUCACUUGGUCCCUCUCCCCUCGAGGAACAAUUUCCAGAACUCUACAAUGUUUCUACCAAUCUCAUUCGGUGAUUUCAGACUUCAAAUGUAACAUGAUUGGGACAUCACAUUCAGGAGGAACUGCAGUGAUUGGUAUCUUAAGAGGGUAUGUCUCCCUUACAGCUGCUGAGCAACUCCUCCCUUCUCCAGUCUACACCGCACUGUCUCCUAUGGAAAGGACAAGCCAACGGAACAUUCCAGAUCAUGCAACUUGAUCUUAGCAAGCCUAACCCAACUGGCUUUAGAGAAAUCUGAAAGAAUACAGCUUCAUACAAGGUUGUGCGCUUCACAUGGUUAGUGACAACAGAGGCACAUAUGACACAGGCACAGCAAAAUCUACAGAAGAGGGGUUUUCUAUCUUGAAAUAGAUGCCCUUUAUGUGAGGAACAAUCUGAAGAUGUCAAACCACCUUUUCUUGCCUUACAGAAUCACAUACCAGAUCCGGAUCAUGAUGUUUGCCCUAUUGAAAUUAAAAUGGUCUAUGCCUUAUACAACUUUGGAACUGCUCCAGUGCUGUUACAGUACGGGUCUGAGCAGAAGAUUAACAAGUGAAUGAAAUUCCAGUCCAGCGGGUAUUUGGCGGGUCAUUUGGAGCGUUGUUAUUGAAAGUGCAAAGCACAAAAAGAAAAAGAAACAAGGUCCUGGGACUUGAAGCGGAAAGUGAGAAGUGAGUGCAUGCUUCGUUGAAGUGAGAUUCAAGAACCGACCACAUCUCAUUGAGAUCACUUCGCGUAUCAUUACUUGAAGCACACAGCUUCAUCCAAGCAGCAAUAUCUCCUCAUUUUGCAUUGCUUCAGUGCUUUAAGCAACAACGCAAUGACUUUUAAUAACACUCUUUGGAGGAAUUGGAAGAUUAGAAUUCUUUAGGGCAACAAGGAAAACGUAAUUAGUCUCGACCAUAGAUUUGUUGUUUUGCUCACUUUUUGGUGCAACAUGACAGAUGUAGAUAUGUAGAUUGCCAUGCUAGACUUACUAAGUUUGUAACCCAACUUGUAAUGCAACUAAACCCAGAUGUAACUCCUCUUCUACACUCUAUUAUUGUUGGAAAUAUCUAAUACAUUCUUGAAUCAUUACUUAUCAAAAAUAUAAGUAUGCUCAUCAAAAUAAUAGCUUCACAUCCUAGAAUGCAAGAAAGGGAGCUUCCCUCGACCACUCAUAUCAAUUAACUUACACUUGACUAUGGAUUUUCCCAAGGCUGAGUCAACAUCAUUCAAAAUUACAAAUAGUUAAAGAAAACAAGUGCAGCAAAAGGACGAGACCCAGUUGUGAGUUUCAAAAUUAAUCCUUAAAAAGGCAAGCAUUGGAUGAUUUUUGGGUAACAUAUCCCAUUUUUCCUUUGUCUAUUCACUGAGUUCCCUUUCCAGUUUGCUGUUUCCAAUAUCUGCGAUGUGGGGAUGAAGCUCCAAAGCAGGAGCUAGCCUUCAAACAGGGGCAGAACUUCACUCUUUUUUCAGGAGAGUGAGAACAGAGCUAUAAAGAAACAAAAGGAGGGUCACGCUGAAUUUUCACCUUUAUUUUCUUUCUUUCCUUUUUUUCUUUUUUUGGAUAGUAACAAGGUCACCUUUUUUU
rnacentral:lncRNA from 1 species